GACGAACGCUGGCGGCGUGCUUAACACAUGCAAGUCGAACGGAAAGGCCCUGCUUUUGUGGGGUGCUCGAGUGGCGAACGGGUGAGUAACACGUGAGUCACCUGCCCUUGACUUUGGGAUAACUUCAGGCAACUGGGGCUAAUACCGGCUAGGAGCUCCUGCUGCAUGGUGGUGGUUGGAAAGCAUGGGCGGUUGGGGAUGGACUCGCGGGUUAUCAGCUUGUUGGUGGGGUAGUGGCCUACCCAGGCUUCGACGGGUAGCCGGCCUGGGAGGGGGACCAGCCACAUGGGGACUGAGAUACGGCGCAGACGCGUACGGGAGGCAGCAGGGGGGAAUAUUACACAAUGGGCGGGAGCCUGAUGCGGAGACGCCGCGUGCGGAAUGACGGCCUUCGGGUUGUAAACCGCUUUCGCCUGUGACGAAGCGGGAGUGACGGUAAUGGGUGAAGAAGCACCGGCUAACUACGUG
rnacentral:rRNA from 1 species